rnacentral:rRNA from 1 species
AUGAACGCUGGCGGCGUGCCUCAUACAUGCAAGUCGAGCGAACAGACGAGGAGCUUGCUCCUCUGACGUUAGCGGCGGACGGGUGAGUAACACGUGGAUAACCUACCUAUAAGACUGGGAUAACUUCGGGAAACCGGAGCUAAUACCGGAUAAUAUAUUGAACCGCAUGGUUCAAUAGUGAAAGACGGUUUUGCUGUCACUUAUAGAUGGAUCCGCGCCGCAUUAGCUAGUUGGUAAGGUAACGGCUUACCAAGGCGACGAUGCGUAGCCGACCUGAGAGGGUGAUCGGCCACACUGGAACUGAGACACGGUCCAGACUCCUACGGGAGGCAGCAGUAGGGAAUCUUCCGCAAUGGGCGAAAGCCUGACGGAGCAACGCCGCGUGAGUGAUGAAGGUCUUCGGAUCGUAAAACUCUGUUAUUAGGGAAGAACAAAUGUGUAAGUAACUAUGCACGUCUUGACGGUACCUAAUCAGAAAGCCACGGCUAACCACGUG